UCCAGGACAGCUAGGACUUUUACCUGUCUCCAAAAAUUUAAAAAAAAAAAAAAAAUUUACCCUGUCUCCAAAAUUUUUAAAAAAAAAAAUUUAAAUGUGAAAGUUUGUCUCUAGGAGGCUCCCUCAUCUGUUAGUGUUGAUGCUUUUCAGGAGAAAAAAAAAAAAAAACAAAGGAAAAAUUGAAAACAUCUACAAGGAGCUUCUUACUGAAGAUUUUAGAUAAUAAUGUGGGUUUUUUUUCCCUCACAUACUGAUGACAGGCAAAUGUUUACAUAGACUUAUACAUUGCUCUAAAUGUUAAAACAGAAAUCUUAAUAGUCUAGGAAAAGAACUUCAGAAAAUGGAUAGUACUGUCCUCUAAAAUCAAGAUUAGGUUUAUCUGUGAGAGAAAAGUGACAGAUUUGUUCCCAUGAAUAUUUUCCUUGAAACUAGUGCUUACUUAAAGUCCAUGUUCCUGAUACUAUUCCAGUGAUAAUCAAACUCUUCUUUAAAUGCAUGGAACAAGCUACUUGUCACAAAAUAUAAUGAUGCCCCUAAUAAUGACUGGUAUUUCAUGUCCAAAAAUAGAAAUUGAGAAAACAACUGAAAUGCUGAACUUAUGGCUAGGGAGCUAGGGGUUUUAACUUAUUUUCCUUAAUCUCUUCAACUAGUUAGUAUAGCAAAUUUUCCUAAUUCAGAGAAUUGAGAAAGAUGACACUCAGAGAAAAAAAAAGACUUCAAAAUUUACAGAGCUUGUUAAAAAUUAAGCUUAGACCUGCUGUCUUCUGUAGAUCUGGCCCCAGUACCAGCUUUGAAAGAGUUUGUAAGAUUGUGUUAAUUUACAGAUUUCUUUAAUGAGAGGAAAGGGAAAAAAUUAACAAGAGUUAGUCACCUAGAAAACAAGAAGUAGACUAGGGUUAGAAAGGUCCUGAACACAGGCAACUCCAGUCACAGGUAAAAUGUAUUUACAUUUUCAUUUUAACGACAUUGCUUCCAAGAUUUACAGCACAAUUCGCUAAUAUCUGUCAUGCUAGCAAUUCCAACUUCAGCAUGCUGUACAAAAUGACCACUUGGUGCUGAUGUGGAGGAGGGGACGGUACUCCGACAGAGAACAGAAGCCACUGGAAGAUUAUGUCAAAGCAAGUAAAGAAAGUUCUAGAAGCUGAAGUGUAUUGUAAGCUGCUGCCGAAUGUGGAGUUUGAUGAGAUGUCCUUCCCGGACUGCAGAAGCCAAACUUCUUGAAGUAUUCCCCAUACAACAGAGAGAAGGGAGAAGCAGAGCAAUCUCUUGACUCUUUUCCUGCUAAGGACACUAAUCGCCUUAAUAAAGGUUGAUCUCUCAUGAUACAAUUACCUAAUUAUGGAUUAUCUCAUACCAGCUUAUGUUAGCCAGGCUUCCUGCCCAAUUCCCUACAUCAAAACCUCAGUUGCUCACAACACAAUGAAUGCUUUUUGUUUGUUUGUUUGUUUGUUUUACUUGCUCUAUAGUUCUAAAACUAUGGUUUCUUCUGCUACGUUUGGUGCCAUGUGUCUUCUCGCUCUGGACUUUACCUAGAGAAGAACACUUCACACAAUGUUCAUCUCUUGCCUUAACAAGAAGGAAGAGCAAGAACUCAAACUGAAUCACGCAAUAAGCACUUGAUGCUCUUACAGGUUAGCCAGGUUCAGGUCCUGGCACCUACACUUUGGCUAACCAAGUGUAAGUCCAAUUCUGAUGUUUUGUUCUGGCCUCUGUCAGUAGUGCAUGCAUGCAGAAAACAGACACAUGUAGGCAAUCACCCAGACACAGUGAACAAACAAAUAAACAAAUAAAUAAUAUCUAGAAAAUAAAGUGUGUGACAGCCAUGCUUUCACUUUGUAUAAAGAACAUUCAAGACAUUUUGACACCCCCCAAUCUUUGUUCUUUGGAAAUGAGAAUAUUAUAUGUAUUUCUAUAAAUCCUGGGAUUUCUGUGCUAAGUUUUUCAUUUCUUCUUUCAAACGAAUAAAUUUUGGAAAUACA